rnacentral:rRNA from 1 species
UACGUAGGGGGCAAGCGUUGUCCGGAUUUAUUGGGCGUAAAGAGCGUGUAGGCGGCCAAGCAGGUCCGCUGUGAAAACUCGAGGCUCAACCUCGAGACGUCGGUGGAAACCGUUUGGCUAGAGUCCGGAAGAGGAGAGUGGAAUUCCCGGUGUAGCGGUGAAAUGCGCAGAUAUCGGGAAGAACACCCGUGGCGAAGGCGGCUCUCUGGGACGGUACUGACGCUGAGACGCGAAAGCGUGGGGAGCGAACGGG